AACGAACGCUGGCGGCAUGCCUAACACAUGCAAGUCGAACGAGACCUUCGGGUCUAGUGGCGCACGGGUGCGUAACGCGUGGGAACCUGCCCUUAGGUUCGGAAUAACUCCCCGAAAGGGGUGCUAAUACCGGAUAAUGUCUUCGGACCAAAGAUUUAUCGCCUUUGGAUGGGCCCGCGUUGGAUUAGCUAGUUGGUAGGGUAAAAGCCUACCACGGCGACGAUCCAUAGCUGGUCUGAGAGGAUGAUCAGCCACACUGGGACUGAGACACGGCCCAGACUCCUACGGGAGGCAGCAGUGGGGAAUAUUGGACAAUGGGCGAAAGCCUGAACCAGCAAUGCCGCGUGAGUGAUGAAGGCCUUAGGGUUGUAAAGCUCUUUUACCCGGGAUGAUAAUGACAGUACCGGGAGAAUAAGCUCCGGCUAACUCCGUG
rnacentral:rRNA from 1 species